GUUUGAUUUUAAAUGUAAAUAAAUGGUUUUCAUAUCAUCCUAAACUGUACACAUAAGGAUAAUUAAAAACAGAAUCAACAGUGUGUUCUAUAACCAGGAAUACAUUUCUUAAACAUGGACAGCAUCUUAGAAAAUUCAAAAGAGAAAGAAAAGAAAUAUGUUGGUGCUAAAGCAGGCCAAUGGAGAGGUCAUCGAGAUUUAUAUGAAGGGAACAGUGAAUUGUAUGUUGACAUUCUUUCACAACCAGAUAACGGAGAAAUCAAAGGAACCGGCAAUGACAGCUAUUAUGGAAAUUUCGUUUUCAGAGGAUUUUGUGCAGGGAAUAGUACAGUUGCAAUAAAAGCCAAUAGUUUUACUAGAAACAGAACUAUCAGUAUUCUAUAUAAUGGACAGAGAGCAAACGAUGAAUGCAUCAAAGGGAAAUAUGAAAUAAGUUCAAACGAUAGACAUUUACCACUGCUUCACGCAGGAGAAUUUACACUGCGAUGGAUUUCAAACAGUCACUUAUUUGUACAGACAAAUUAGAUUUCAAUAUGAAUAAAUGCAUGCACACUU